rnacentral:rRNA from 1 species
UACAGAGGUCCCAAGCGUUGUUCGGAUUCACUGGGCGUAAAGGGUGCGUAGGCGGUCGGGUAAGUCUGAUGUGAAAUCUCACAGCUUAACUGUGAAACUGCAUUGGAUACUAUCCGGCUCGAGGAAUGGAGGGGAGACUGGAGUACUUGGUGUAGCAGUGAAAUGCGUAGAUAUCAAGUGGAACACCAGUGGCGAAGGCGAGUCUCUGGACAUUUCCUGGCGCUGAGGCACGAAAGCCAGGGGAGCAAACGGG